GCUAGGGGCUGAAUCAGAGCUGCAAGCUGCUGGCCCAUGCCACAGCCACAGCAAUGCGGGAUCCCAGCCGUGUCUGUGACCUGCACCUAAGCUUGUGGCAGUGCUGAGUGAGGCCAGGGAUCAAACUCUCAUCCUCACAGAAAUCACAUCGGGUCCUUAACCCACUGAGCCACAUAGGAAAUCCGAGAGUCCUUUUUGUGUAGAUUUGUUGCCAUUGGCAUCAUGCCUAUGAGAGGCGGUUUGGGACACACUGUGCAGUGCAGGUGGACCUUAGAAUUACUUUAGGUUUGGUUCCAGACCACCGCCUAAAGUGAAUGUUGUGGUAAAGUGAGUCACAUGAACUGUCUGGUUUCCCAGGGCAUAUAAAAUUCAUGUUUACAUUGUAUUAUAGUCUAUUAAGUGUGCAGUAGCUUUAAGUCUAAGAUAACAAUGCACACCCUUAAUUUUAAAAUGCUUUACUGUUAGAAAAUGCUAACCAUUAUUUAAGCCUUCAGUGAGUCUUAAUCUUUUUACAGUAGUAACAUUAAAGAUCACUGAUCACAGAUCAUCCUAACAAAUAUAAUAAUAACGGAAAAUUUUCAGCUAUAGUGAGAAUUACCAAAGUGUGACACAGACAUGGUAUGAGCACAUGCUAUGGGAAAACAGCACUGACAGACUUGCUCUGCACAGGGUUGCCACAGACUUUCAGUCUGUGAGAAACAGUUUUGUUUUUUUGUCUUUUUGCCUUUUUUGCCUUUUCUAGGGCUACUUCCCACAGCAUAUGGAGGUUCCCAGGCUAGGGGUCGAAUCGGAGCUGUAGCCACCAGCCUACACCACAGCCACAGCAAUGCCAGAUCCGAGCUGCGUCUGUGACUUACACCACAGCUCACGGCAACACCGGAUCCUUAACCCACUGAGCGAGGCCAGGGACCGAACUCGCAACUUCAUGAUUCCUAGUCGGAUUCGUUAACCACUGCGCCACAAUGGGAACUCCGAGAAACAGUUUCUACAGAGCUCACUCAAGUGGCAUGUGCCUGUGUCCUACUACUGCUGUGUCUGGUUUAAGAGUCUGGAACUAGUCCUGGAUCUGUCACUGAUUGAGUAACUAACUCGUUCUUUUGUUGCUGUUAAGAAUCUAGGGGGUUGUUUUUCAGACUGAGCAUUUGAAGUGAAAGCUUAAAUCAACUGAAGGUUACAUAUUUUUUAAACUAAAGUAUUAUGUGCAGAUUAUGCCUCCUUAUUCCAAAGUUCUUUGGAAAAGUCAGUGAUUUUUCUGCCCUAGCUGGCUUUUUUAAUCCCCUCAGGAGCCUAUUAAAAAUUAUUUGCCCAGACCAUUGGGUGGGACCUAGUUGGCAAUGCUUAAACACACACACAUUCUCCCUCUCUCUCCCCCUACUCUCCCCCCCACACACACACACUGGGUGAUACUGGUAUGCUGUCAGAAUUGAAAGGACUGCUUUUAGGCAUGUUAAGGAUCUGGUGUUGUCACUGCAGCAGCUCAGGUCACUGCUGUGGCCAGGGGGGGAAAAAGCCUUGAUUUUAGGCCUAUGUUACCCAAACUUGCCUGAGACAGAUCUCCAGGUCCUUGUUUGAUUACAGAUUUCCUGACUUCUUCCCCUAGAAAUUCAGGGACAGGUGGCCUGGGGUGGAGAACACUGCCUAAGGCAGUGUCUGAACUUCCAGGUCCUCUGCCUAUGAGAUGAAUAUGUUCCUUUGUGGAAAAAUAGGUAUUCUUGGCUGUGAGGAAGGCUUGCAUUAUUGUCAGCCUGUCCUAACUACCUCAUCACUAAAAAAAAAAAAAAAACCACACAUUUCUGUCUCUCUUGUUGGGUUUUCUUACUGAAAAAUACCUCUGGAGGAGCAUACUUUGAGGUAGAUUUUGGUUUGAUGGAACAUUGGUCCUUUUUCUGCUUCGGGUUUUGAACUUUGAAGCAGUGACUGGCCGACUGCGGUGUAUGUCUGCUCGAAGCCAGUGGCUUCCUCUGGCUGUGAUUUUCUUGGACUGAACACCAAGCACUAAAUGGAGAGACACCCAGGACAGCUGAGAUAUUUUUGGGCAGUGGGGUGAUCUUAUUGCUGACACUUCUUUUAGGAGGAGAGUAUUUGUUUCCAUCCUUCUGUAAGGAAAGAAAUAAUAACACUGGGCUCUACCAGCUGAACCACAGCUCACAAGCAGCUUUUCUACAUCUGUACCCUUGUGUUUUUGCCCCAGGAGAAAGCACAUGGUCAAAUGAGUGAUGCUGGGGAGUGAGUAGGGACAGGGCAGGGCCUUGUUCCCCUGAGACAGGCGGGUUUCUUCCUAGUUGACUGAAACUGUGGUUUUUCUCCAAUUUCAGAGUUGGUAAGACUUCACUCAUGAACCAGUAUGUGAACAAGAAGUUCAGUAAUCAGUACAAAGCGACAAUAGGAGCAGACUUCCUGACGAAGGAGGUGAUGGUGGAUGACAGACUAGUCACAAUGCAGGUAAGCGCUGGUCUCAGCUUGGCCGGCUGUGCCCAGGUCCUGUAGCCUUGACCCUUUCUCCUGUGCCUGCCUGUUCCCUUCUCUAUUCUUUAGUCAUGGGUAAUUGGCUUAGAGGUAGGGUUGCCAAAUAAAAUAUAAGAAAGAUACCAAGUUAGUCCCCAAAUUUGCAUGAGACAUAGUAAAAUUUUUUCGUUGUUUUUUCCAAAGUUCAGAUUUGUCUGGUCUUUCUGUUUUUUGUUGUUGUUUUGGUUUUCUGUUGUUGUUUUGUGCUAAGUGGCAUCCUGCAGAUUCCUGUCUUAUGUCUCCAAAAAAAAUGCCUAACUCAUCUCUUUCUUAAUAUCCUUGCCUCAUGCUUUAGGCCAAAAAAAUCUUUGUGUCUUUCCUGGGUUCUUACAGCACUCAUUAAAGUAGUUUUCCAACUUUUCUGGUUUCUUAUAAGCUGUCCUAUCUAUAUCCCCCAAAGUUGUGUUAAGCCAAUCUGGUUUUUUCAUAUAUUGGCUUAAUUUGCUUUCAAGGGCCUCCCUUUCAACAGUUAGGAUAAAAACAGAUUCCUUCACAUGGCUCUUUGAAAGCCUUCACAUUCUGGCCACAAAUUCUUCACUUUUUCAUCUCAUCCCAGUCCUUCCCUGUCAUGUGCUGCUCUUACAAAGCUGUCUGUGCGGCUCAGCUUCCAGCAAGGCCCUCUUUUCACAUCUAUACUCAUCCCAGAGUCUCCAACGUUCAGACCAGAUUUUGUUUUGGGAGCUCCUAUCUCCACAGCAGUGUUGCCUCCUUUCUGUGCUGAGAAAAGUGGGUUCUUCUCCAUUGGUGUCGUGGCAAGCCCCAGGCUGGCCAAAAUGUUUGAUUGGCACAGGUCACAGGUGCAAGUUUUUACAUGUGUUGACCUUGAGCUAUGUCAUGCUCUCAGAGAAUGAGGCUUCUUGAUACCUAACCUUACUCCUGUAGGAUGGAGCUGAGGCAGGUCUCCCCGACCCCCCAUUCCCAGUGGUAUUCACUCCUUAACUGGGGGUGGGCAAAAAUAGGUCAAGGGGACUAAGAGGUACAAACAUCCAGUUAUAAAAUGUGCAGUAUAGGGGCUAUAGCCAAUAGUAUUGUAAUAACUUUGUGUCGUUUUAAAAAAAAAUGUUUUCGGGAGUUCCCAUUGAGGCUCAGCAGUAAUGAAUCUGACUGGUAUCCAUAAGAUGUGGGUUUGAUCCCUGGUACUGCUCAGUGGCUUAGAGAUCUGAUGUUGCCACAAGCUGUGGUGUAGGUUGCAGGCAUGGCUUGGAUCUGGCUUUGCUGUGGCAGUGGCGUAGACUGACAUCUGAAGCUCCAAUUGUACCCUUAGCCUGGGAGGUUCCAUAUGCCACAGGUGCAACCCUAAAAAGGGGGAAAAUAUUUUUUUUUUCAACUUAAUUUACAGUGUUGUUAGUUUCAGGUGUACAGCAGAGUGAUUCAGUUACACUUAUACAUAUAUCCAUUCCUUUUCAGAUUCUUUUCCCAUAUAGAUUUUUACAAGUUACUGAGUUUGCUGUGCUAUACAGUAGAUCCUUGUAGAUUAUCUAUUUUGUUUUGUAAAUAGGUUCAUUUGUGUCAUUUUUUUAGAUUCCACAUAUAAGUGAUAUCAUAUGAUAUUUGUCAUUCCCUUUCUGACUUACUUCACUUAGUAUGAUAAUCUCCAGGUCCAUCCAUGUUGCUGUGAAUGGCAUUAUUGCCUUCUUUUUCAUGGCUACAUCAUGUAUAUGUACAUCGUGUAUUACAUUGUGUAUAUAUAUCAUAUCUUUUCUAUCCAUGGCUCUAUUGAUGGACAUUUAGGUUGUUUCCAUGUCUUGGCUAUUGUGAAUAGUGCUGCAGUGAACACAGGAGUGCAUGGAUCUUUCCAGUUACAGUUUUCUCUAGAUACAGGCCCAGGAGUGGGAUUGCUAGAUCAUAUGGCAAUUCUGUGUUUAGUUCCCAUUAUGGCUCAGUGGUAAUGAACCCGACUAGCAUCCAAGAGGAUUCUGGUUCCAUCCCUGGCCUCUUUCAGUGGGUUAAGGAUCUGGCAUUGCUGUGAGCUGUGGUGUAGGUUGCAGACACAGCUCAAAUCCUGUGUUGCUGUGGCUCUGGCGUAGGCUGGCGGCUACAGCUCCAAUUUGACCCCUAGGCUGGGAACCUCCAUAUGCCUCGAGUGUGGCCCUAAAAAGAAAAAAAUCUUGAUACAUAUCUGAUUAGUAAAAUAUUCUAAAGUCAUCUAUAUUUUAGUAAUCUGUGUGUGUGUAACUAAAGUUUAAAUAAGCCAAGUUUGAAAGAAGGAAAUUUGUAGAUAAUAGGAAAGGAGAGAGACCUGAAUGCCAGUGAUAAGCUCAGGCCCCUGCCUUGGUGAUUUGUGGAUUUAAAACAGGGGCUAAGAGGUACUGUUGUAGCGCAGUGGAAACGAAUCUGACUAGGAACCAUGAGGUUGCAGGUUCAAUCCCUGGCCUCACUCAGUGGGUUAAGGAUCUGGUGUUGUGAGCUGUGGUGUAAGUUCCAGAAGCAUCUCGGAUCCUGCGUUGCUGUGGCGUAGGCUGUCAGCUACAGCUCCAAUUAGACCCCUAGCCUGGGAACCUCCAUAUGCUGUGGGUGUGGCUCUAAAACAUAAAUAAAUGAAUAAAUAAAUAAAACAGGAGCUAGAGGGAGUUCCCAUUGUGGCUCAGUGGUAACAAACUCAACUAGUAUCCAUAAGGACGCGAGUUUGAUCCCUGGCCUUGUUCAGUGGGUUAAGGAUCUGACAUUUCUGUGAGCCAUGGUCGCAAAUGUGGCUUGGAUCCCACGUUGCUGUGGCUGUGGUGGAGGCCAGCAGCUAUAGGUCACAUUCAACCCCUAGCCUGGGAUCUUCCAUAUGCCUCAGGUGUGGGCCUAAAAAGACAACAAACAAACAAACAAAGUGGCCUAGAGCGCUGUCAACCAUCAUGAACAAGAGAUGUGAACAGCCCGAGUUGGUGGGGGUGGGUGGUAGAACUGCAAGCCCCCUGGAUGUCAAGACACAUAGUCACCUGGGAGCCUGAAGUAUGACUAAAACCUUAGCCUGAGUAAGUGGCCAAGCUGGUGUGUGAAGUACCGGCUUUGCCGCUUGGUCUCCUGCUUGGAGACUGUGGGUCCCACCGUGCUUGUAUGUGGGCUCCCGCAUUAUACUCUGUAUGUCAUAGGCCUCUGCCAUCCUGGCAGAAAUAAAGAGAAGGCCACUCUGUAGAGAGCUGUACAGCUUCUGGGUAGAGGAUGAGCUCAUAGGCACAUGAGGAAAUAAUGUACUGCAGAAAAUGUUCAUGAUGACUAGCGAUCUCUUCAAAAGGAAUGGAAACUGUAAUGGAAAGGGACACUGUGAAAAAUGAGGAUAUGGAACACUUAGAACUUUUAGGAAGUGAAAAAAGUCAUUGAAAUAAACCAAAGAGUGAAACGGCAGAUUAGACACAGCUGAAGAAAACAGUAAAUUUCAACAUUAAGAGCUGAGCCAAUUACCACAAAGAAAACUCAAAAUUAUGGAGCACCAGAAAUCAGAAUCCUAAGGCAAGUGGAGAGCAAAGACAGAUAAAGGGACAGCAGUCAGACAGAUGAGUUCUCGGCAGCGACAGAAAGCUGAGGGGAUUGGGGUAUGUCUUUGGUGCUGGGUCGAAUGUGGCCUGGAUGGCACGAGUUCUUCCCCCACCCCCCACCCCUGCUGGACAGAGCUACUUCCUGUAGCAGGAGAGCCAGGUGGACCACGGUGGGCUUCUGGUAGCCACGUGGGCAGAGGUAGAAGCGAGACCUGGCCCCGUCUGGCACGGGGCCUUGCUUCUAAAAGACCCCACAUGUACUUCAGGCUGGGACCUCUGGGGAGCCCACGGUGCCAAGCGCAGUCUGGAAAGGGUAUGAAAGACCGUGGUCCUCAGGUUGGAAAGGCUGCCUCUCUCCUUCCACGGCCAGUUUAAAAGACUCAAGUUACAGGAAAACCAUCAUCGCUGACAAAGGCAUCAUCAUCCUAGAUCGUGAGGAAUCCUCACCUGUGUUUCACAGGCUUUUAGCAGCUUGCAAGUAAAAGAUAAUUCAAGUCAGACAGCAAGGCAGGAACCAGUGCAAACCUCCCUGGCAAUUCAGAGUGGGUUUUGUAUUUAAAGAAAUAAAGCAGUCUUAUGUAUCUGCAGAGACAAAACUAAGCAGGUGGCGUGGGUCAGUAGAACUUCUAAAAAUGAAAUGCCCUGACCAGCACUUGUAAAUUUAGAGAAUGUUUUUAGCAGCAGUUGGGCUGCACCAAAAGAGGGCUGAAAGGAGGAGAAUGUUGGGAAAUGGAAAAGAGGCAGAAAGAGGAACUACAUUGCCUCAGUCUCAGACAGGUGGAUAGAUCAAAAAUAAUAUUUGCUGAAAAUUUUCCAGAAUUGAUGUGGCACCAAUCCAUAGAUUCAGGAAGCCCAAAUCCCAAGAAAAAUAAAGAAGUCUAGAAAAAUCAAGAUGAAAUUUUUUUUAAAGAGACAAACUUGGGAAUUCCCUUCAUGGCUCAGUGGUUAACGAACACGACUAGGUAGAAUCUAUGAGGUUGUGGGUUUGAUCCCUGGCCUCCUCAUUCAGUGGGUUGAGGAUCUGAUGUUGCCGUGAGCUGUGG
rnacentral:lncRNA from 1 species